UACGUAGGGGGCUAGCGUUGUCCGGAAUCAUUGGGCGUAAAGCGCGCGUAGGCGGCCAGAUAAGUCCGGUGUGAAAGUCACAGGCUCAACCUGUGAAUGCCGCUGGAAACUGUCUGGCUAGAGUCCGGAAGGGGCGAGUGGAAUUCCUGGUGUAGCGGUGAAAUGCGUAGAUAUCGUGAGGAACACCAGAGGCGAAGGCGGCUACCUGGACAAUUGCUGACGCUCAGGCACGAAAGCGUGGGGAGCAAAAGGG
rnacentral:rRNA from 1 species